rnacentral:misc_RNA from 1 species
GAUGAAGAACGUAGCGAAAUGCGAUAAGUAAUGUGAAUUGCAGAGUUCAGUGAAUCAUCGAAUCUUUGAACGCACAUUGCGCCCCUUGGUAUCCCGAGGGGCAUGCCUGUUCGAGCGUCAUUUCACCACUCAAGCCUGGCUUGGUGUUGGGCGACGUCCCCUUUGGGGACGCGCCUCGAAACGCUCGGCGGCGUGGCACCGGCUUUAAGCGUAGCAGAAUCUUUCGCUUUGGAAGUCGGGGCCCCGUCUGCCGGAAGACCUACUCGCAAGGUUGACCUCGGAUCAGGCAGGGAUACCCGCUGAACUUAAGCAUAUCAAUAAGCGGAGGA